AUUGAACGCUAGCGGGAUGCUUUACACAUGCAAGUCGAACGGCAGCGCGGACUUCGGUCUGGCGGCGAGUGGCGAACGGGUGAGUAAUGUAUCGGAACGUGCCCAGUAGCGGGGGAUAACUACGCGAAAGCGUAGCUAAUACCGCAUACGCCCUACGGGGGAAAGCAGGGGAUCGUAAGACCUUGCACUAUUGGAGCGGCCGAUAUCGGAUUAGCUAGUUGGUGAGGUAACGGCUCACCAAGGCGACGAUCCGUAGCUGGUUUGAGAGGACGACCAGCCACACUGGGACUGAGACACGGCCCAGACUCCUACGGGAGGCAGCAGUGGGGAAUUUUGGGCAAUGGGGGCAACCCUGAUCCAGCCAUCCCGCGUGAGCGAUGAAGGCCUUCGGGUUGUAAAGCACUUUUGGCAGGAAAGAAACGUCGCGGGCUAAUACCCCGUGGAACUGACGGUACCUGCAGAAUAAGCACCGGCUAACUACGUG
rnacentral:rRNA from 1 species